rnacentral:rRNA from 1 species
UACGAAGGGGGCUAGCGUUGCUCGGAAUCACUGGGCGUAAAGGGUGCGUAGGCGGGUUUUUAAGUCAGGGGUGAAAUCCUGGAGCUCAACUCCAGAACUGCCUUUGAUACUGAAGAUCUUGAGUUCGGGAGAGGUGAGUGGAACUGCGAGUGUAGAGGCGAAAUUCGUAGAUAUUCGCAAGAACACCAGUGGCGAAGGCGGCUCACUGGCCCGAUACUGACGCUGAGGCACGAAAGCGUGGGGAGCAAACAGG